rnacentral:rRNA from 1 species
GAUGAACGCUGGCGGCGUGCCUAAUACAUGCAAGUCGAGCGAACAGACGAGGAGCUUGCUCCUCUGACGUUAGCGGCGGGCGGGGGAGUAACACGUGGAUAACCUACCUAUAAGACUGGGAUAACUUCGGGAAACCGGAGCUAAUACCGGAUAAUAUAUUGAACCGCAUGGUUCAAUAGUGAAAGACGGUUUUGCUGUCACUUAUAGAUGGAUCCGCGCCGCAUUAGCUAGUUGGUAAGGUAACGGCUUACCAAGGCAACGAUGCGUAGCCGACCUGAGAGGGUGAUCGGCCACACUGGAACUGAGACACGGUCCAGACUCCUACGGGAGGCAGCAGUAGGGAAUAUUGCGCAAUGGGCGAAAGCCUGACGGAGCAACGCCGCGUGAGUGAUGAAGGUCUUCGGAUCGUAAAACUCUGUUAUUAGGGAAGAACAAAUGUGUAAGUAACUAUGCACGUAUUGACGGUACCUAAUCAGAAAGCAACGGCUAACUACGUG